rnacentral:lncRNA from 1 species
CUUUCCUCGGUAUGGAUCCUUGUGCACCUCUUAGAGAAGAACGAAACACCAGAUACUUUUGAGCCUUUUAACAACACUGCAGCAGACUUGAGGACUUUUCUCUCACCAGCCACAGAGGCACAGAGCCACUUGCAGGGUCUGAGUUUUACUGGCCGCAGCACAAGCUGCCCUAAGACACCUGCGUGUACUGGGGCCGUUUGUACCAUUAGCCUGUCUGCUCUGUCUGAGAGUCUUCAUGCAGGCGUAAUUCAGCCAUCAAGUCCUCUUACCAGAAAAAACCUUCUGGAGGCACCACCCCUUGGAGCAAAAGGGACCCGCUUCCAGAGAAAGUGCCUGGACCUCACUGGUGUCAGUUCAGAGACCGCACUUUAAGGACUGACCAGAAGGAAGCUCAGGCUCUGGCCUGUCCCUUCCUCUAUUUGGUACUUGUCAUCCUAGGUCCUUUCUUUUUAUUUUGAGACAAGAUCUUAUUCUGUGGCUUAGGCUGGCCUGCAAACUCCCAUCUCGGCCUCCCAAGUGCUGGCCCUUAUUUUAAAGUGAACUUAAAGAAAUGGGGGAAUUUAUUCAUUCCAUGGUCUGAGCUGUAACCAGAAUCCAAGUGAUCACUUGAGUGCAUUUCCUGUGUACAAACCAAGAAAAAGGCCUUAAUAUUAAAUAACGCCAGUUUGGUAGAGAACUGACUCAGAGGGUAGACUAUUAUAUGUUCCUUGUACCAAAUGAUAUUGUAAACCACUUCAGCCUGUGGGAGCACCGUGUGGGAGCACCUGUGGGAGCACUGUGUGCUACAGGUGCGCGUGCCUCUAGACAGAGCCCUCUCCUUGGUGCUCUUGACCCUCCUUACUGCACAGUCCCUCUCUACAGCAUUAGCCCCUCCCACCUCCCGACAGCGAACACCUCACUUGUCUUUCCAUUCCAUGUUGGAGCCAGCGUGGUUGGUGCCUGUGUUUUCUAGUCAGGCCUCCCCGUUUGCAUUUGGGUGCUGGUUUGCUUAUUGUCU